AGACCUCAAUUUGAGCAAGAUUACCCGCUGAACUUAAGCAUAUCAGUAAGCGGA
rnacentral:rRNA from 1 species